rnacentral:tRNA from 1 species
ACGCGGGUAAACCCGAAAAAUCAAGGACUCAUAAUCCUUUGGUCGUUGGUUCAAGUCCAACACGGCCUACCA